AGUGAAUAUGCCUUACUUCCAUCC
rnacentral:siRNA from 1 species